GAUCCUGGCUCAGGAUGAACGCUGGCGGCGUGCCUAACACAUGCAAGUCGAACGAGCGAGAGAGAGCUUGCUUUCUCGAGCGAGUGGCGAACGGGUGAGUAACGCGUGAGGAACCUGCCUCAAAGAGGGGGACAACAGUUGGAAACGACUGCUAAUACCGCAUAAGCCCACGGCUCGGCAUCGAGCAGAGGAAAAAGGAGCAAUCCGCUUUGAGAUGGCCUCGCGUCCGAUUAG
rnacentral:rRNA from 1 species